CAAAGAGGGGUUUUGUCAGACAGGGAACAAUGUGCAUUGCUGCAGGCAUGAGAAAGGAGAGCUGCAUUUGGAAAGUAUUACAAUUAUAAUGGGAGUAGAUUUCGAAGCAGAUAAUUAAUGGUAGGGAUACAGGAUCUUCCCUUCCCACUGGGAUUCAUUCUCACUCUGUUGGUGUAACUUAUAGCCCUGAGGAACACUCUUUUUAGUUUCAAGGCUCUCUUUUCUAAUCUCUAGGUCUUUUAGUGUUUUAUUGCAUUGGUCACAAAGGUUCAAGGAGGUCACUCCAGAAGAUAUUCUCUACAAGGGAUUAAAUUGACUCAGAGGAACAAAGUAAUUUGGAAGAGUUUUUGCAGAAGCCUUCUUCCACCUUUAAGCUACAAAAAGUCUCCUCUUCCACUCCUGCAAGACCAUUUCUGAAGUGCUCCGUUCUCUGCUUUGUAUCAUUCUUCCUUCAGGAAGGUCAGAAAAGAAAGGUUUUGUGCUGUUCAAUAUUACUGAAAAAAUAAUACUUCUACAGAGUCAAGCUUAUGACUUUUGAUAUGGGAAGGCUGGAUAGUGUUGAAAUACAUAGGUCAUCCAAAAGAAUUAGCUGGCUCAGGAGCAUGGUACAAAAAGGGAGGAGAAGAAGAUGAAAGCUGGUGAUAAAGAUACUCAGAAGCCAAAGCUCUUGGUAACAUCCAGCUGGAUCUUGGCAGUGCCCUGGGACUCUGACCCUCACAGGCACCUCUGAUCUCCUGAACCACAAAGGAAAAAACUCUAUGGGUUCACCGGGAGCUGUAAGGACAGUUUUACUCCAUCACUCUUUGACAGUCUUUAAUUAUACAGCCUAAUAAAAAAAUGCAGACAGUAAUAGAAAUCGGAAAGAAUUAUCCCUUAUAAGUUUAAAAAUGUUAGUAUAUAUAUUUUAAGCCCUCAUAAGCAGUCCGUAUAUUAUGCAUGUUAAUAUGUAUCUUUGAGUGAUAUUAAAAAUAGCAUUAUGAUCAUAUGACAAACCAGUUGCUAUAGUAACUACAUUUUUGCUGUAGAACAGCAAAGUAAUAAUGUGUAAAAUGUGUAAAUUAUCAGUGUGUAAGAGCAACUGGUGCGUCUUCGCUCUGCUAUGCUGCUUUAAAAUGAAUCUUUCUAUGAAUAUACAUAUCUCAUUCAUGUAUUCUCAUGACACUCCUGUUGCUGGCUCCGUCUCUUCAGUUGGCCACCCUUGUAGCGCUUAAGUGAGACGUGACAUUUCAGCCAAAAGAAAAAGCAGUGGAAGAAGCAGAGAUAAUGGAGUCGAUCCAAAAUAAAAAGGCUUAUACUGAUUUCAAUGGACUUUGCCUCGGGCCUUAUGCAAACAAAGGUGAUUUAUGAGGGAUAGCAUAAAAAGGCAGAGUUCACUCAUUUUUGCGUGCCUGUUACCACAUUCUCCUGCUGAAAUCUGAAGAGAUGUUGCACUUGACACUGGGGAGAAGCAGGAUCAAGUGCUAACAUGUUGGAGAUUUCUAUAGCAGGCUGAGGAUAUCUCGGUGAAUGUGGAACCAAUUUUCCAGACCUCAUCUCC